CAAGUCUAGCCGUAAGGGUAUAGAAGUUUAUACCCCCACAGGUACAUCUAAAAACCCAAAACUUUAUAAGACUUCUCGUCACACUCACACUCAGAGUCAGAGAGAAAGGAUAUAUAAGAAGCUAUAGCGAGGGGGAAUACUCAUCCUACCAAGUAUCAAGUUAUUAACAAACUAAAAGUAGCUCAGCCGAUUAUGCUAAAAACUUGCUCAUUUGGGCUAAUUAUAUUCAUCAACUUGAUAUAGUUGUUCGUAUUUUUUGGAUUUACUUUAUUAUUAGAAUUUAACGACUCUGUUUUUUCAAUGGUAGGCAAACUCAUGUAUCAACAAUAAAAUGUAUGAGAACGUUGGGUGCAUUUGGACGCAAGGCUAUACAAGUCUACAUAAUGUUGGGAGCAUCUGGAUGCAAGCUUCAACGACAUUUAUAAUAGGACACAGGGAGUAUAUAGACAAGGAUGUCUGGGUAUGCUACCCGCUCGUCCUUUCUCUUUGACCAUUUAACAAACACGUUACUUGGUGUAUAUAAAGAAUAUAUAAAAAGGAAACUCUAUCUCA